AGAAGCAGUCUACAGGGGUGGAGAGGGGCACUGUGUGCAUCUCCCCCUGUCUUUUCUUCCUGAGGAUGGAGAGGAACUGAAAGGUGUUUCUCUAUGAAGAGGGUGAACUCCUGCCUGGAUCCUGUUGUUUCCACUCCGGAGUCCUGGCCCUGCCUGCUGUGAGAUGAAAAUGUGUUCAAGAACAAGUGGGGCUUGCUGACAAGCAUGAAAAUUGAACAGACUGAAAGACAGCUGCUGAUCUCGAUGAGCCUUUCCUACAGCAACAGCUUCAGGGUGAUCUUUUAAAACCACUGAUGGAGCAGUUCCUCUGCUUUCCUCCCGUCUCCAGAACCAACUCCGCUGGGAAAUCAGCUUUUUAUCCUUCGUAAACCAACAUCUUUAGUGCCUUGUCACACUGCUGGGCUUUGCACAUAUGUAUCCCCAGGGCUGCAGGACACGACAGGAGCUCCCAAAUAAACCCUUCUGGUAAGAAGCAGAGCGAUAUGGUCACUGGUAGAGGGAAAUGGCUGGGAGAGUCUUGAUCAGAAAAGAAAAAGCACCGAGGGCCACUGCGAGCUGGAAGGGUUUCGC